rnacentral:rRNA from 1 species
ACGAACGCUGGCGGCGUGCCUAAUACAUGCAAGUCGAACGCACUCUCGUUUAGAUUGAAGGAGUUUGCUCCUGAUUGAUAAACAUUUGAGUGAGUGGCGGACGGGUGAGUAACACGUGGGUAACCUGCCCUAAAGUGGGGGAUAACAUUUGGAAACAGAUGCUAAUACCGCAUAAAACCUAACACCGCAUGGUGUAGGGUUGAAAGAUGGUUUCGGCUAUCACUUUAGGAUGGACCCGCGGUGCAUUAGUUAGUUGGUGAGGUAAAGGCUCACCAAGACCGUGAUGCAUAGCCGACCUGAGAGGGUGAUCGGCCACACUGGGACUGAGACACGGCCCAGACUCCUACGGGAGGCAGCAGUAGGGAAUCUUCCACAAUGGACGAAAGUCUGAUGGAGCAACGCCGCGUGAGUGAAGAAGGUUUUCGGAUCGUAAAACUCUGUUGUUGGAGAAGAAUGUAUCUGAUAGUAACUGAUCAGGUAGUGACGGUAUCCAACCAGAAAGCCACGGCUAACUACGUG